rnacentral:rRNA from 1 species
UACGUAGGGGGCAAGCGUUGUCCGGAUUUAUUGGGCGUAAAGAGCGUGUAGGCGGCUAGGUAGGUCCGUUGUGAAAACUCGAGGCUCAACCUCGAGACGCCGAUGGAAACCAUCUGGCUAGAGUCCGGAAGAGGAGAGUGGAAUUCCUGGUGUAGCGGUGAAAUGCGCAGAUAUCAGGAGGAACACCGAUGGCGAAGGCAGGUCUCUGGGCAUUAACUGACGCUGAGGAGCGAAAGCAUGGGGAGCGAACAGG